GAAUAACUUCCCUAACUCAUGAAGUCCCAACAGCAAGUAGGCUAUGGCUAUAUGUCCGCCUUCAUUUCCUUCAGCAGUCCGGCAGUCUCCGACCCUAUUUCGAAAAUUCUUUUCCAACUCUACUAUACCUCGCUCCAAAUAGACCAAAUAUUUGUUGGCACUGACGGCCAUAUCCUUCCAUUAUUCAAUUAGUUUGUGAUUGGCUUCCUGUAUCUCACGAUGCUCGCUUUAGUAUUCUCGG
rnacentral:lncRNA from 1 species